CGUUCGUUUCAAAAGGUGCAGGAAAAGUGCAGGGCUGGUUAGUGAUUUUGCUGCACCUACUCCGCUGUCGGUGCCGACUUGGUGCAGCACACAGACGCUAU
rnacentral:lncRNA from 1 species